UACGGAGGUGGCAAGCGUUGUUCGGAAUUACUGGGCGUAAAGGGCGCGUAGGCGGCAUGGCAAGUCAGAUGUGAAAGCCCCGGGCUUAACCUGGGAAUUGCAUCUGAAACUGUUGUGCUUGAGUUCUGGAGGGGGUAGUGGAAUUCCCAGUGUAGCGGUGAAAUGCGUAGAUAUUGGGAGGAACACCUGCGGCGAAGGCGACUUACUGGGCCGUAACUGACGCUGAUGCGCGAAAGCGUGGGGAGCGAACAGGAUUAGAUACCCCCGUAGU
rnacentral:rRNA from 1 species